GCUGGAGGCCGCGGGAGACCCCGAGACGCUGCUCAGGGGCCCCUGCGGGGCUGCCGGCGCAGUUCGCGCCGGAAGGACGAGAGCGCUUGGCUUGGCCGGCGGCUCAGGGGCGCGUGUUUUGCAGAGAGCUCCGACCCGGGCAGGUCACACAGCUUCCCGGAACUGGCCCCAGGCUGAGGGCCGCGUGGUGGCCUCUCCCGGUCAGGGGAUGGAGCUGUGAACGCCCGGCGGGAGUGGCUUUGAGGCCGGACUGGCUCCCUCGCUGCGAGGUCUUUCCUCGGGCACAGGUAGCCUCCAGGAGAGCCGGGACCUUGUAUGUGAAUUUUGUUUAUCACUGUAUCCCCAGCAUAGCAGGAUGCAAGUCUUAUAAUAAGUGCCCCGAUGGCAUAUACUUAUAUUUACCUGCCUCACUCAUUUUGGGCAUGGCCAUGUAACCGGGUGCACAGAAGUGGGAGUGUACUGAGGCUUUGAAUGUUUGUUUAGCCUCUGGAGCUCCUGCCUACUCCAUGAUGCCACUUCUGCAGGCUCUCAGAACUGUCUGUCUUUGACAAGGGCUAUCCUUGUUGUGGGAGGCCCUCAGCUUUCCGAGGAGGUUGGAAAGAAUGGAGCUCAGAGAAAUGGAGGGGCCCCCGCAAGCUGCAGCAGCAGGAGGCAAAGGAACCAGCAGCAGGGCCCUCUGGAAAGAUCGGAGGAGGCAUGUAGCUGAGUGCUCACACAACGUGAGGAUGUCGCAGCUCCAAACCAGGGUGUUCUCUGUGAUGUCAGGUGAGCAGCCACUUAAGUGCCUCUACCUCCAGCGUAUCCAACACAGACACGCUGAAAGUGGCUGUAAAAUGCCUUUGACUCUUAUCUCUCUUGCAUCACCCUCUGAAAUGAAAUCUCAAACACUUUCGCAGGGUUUGAUGCAGAGAACAGUAAGCAGAUAGAGGUUCAGGCAGAAACAGAACAGGAGUCAAAAGCCCUGGAGAAAAGCAUGAAUGGGCUUGGAGAGGACAAAUAAAAUAGCAGAGACAUUUAUACGGGUCUCCCCUACCUCUCAGAACAAAACAAUUAUGAGAUAAGAGAGGCAUGGAUGGGAGGAAAUUCUUUCAUUUUUCACAUUGCAAGCUGGAGAGAUCCAAUAGCCUGUUUAUGAAGAACAAUAAAGAAGAUACAUGAACUCAGUAAAGAGGUUGUUACAAAUAUAUCUGGUGGUUUUGAAAGGCCAGGGUUUUCU